AACCUCCGCAAUGUGAGAAAUCGCGACGGGGGGAUCCCAAGUGCCAUUCUUAACGGGAUGGCUUUUCAUUAGUGUAAAGAGCUUUUGGAAUAAGAGCUGGGCAAGACCGGUGCCAGCCGCCGCGGUAACACCGGCAGCUCUAGUGGUAGCAAUUUUUAUUGGGCCUAAAGCGUCCGUAGCCGGUUUAAUAAGUCUCUGGUGAAAUCCUGUAGCUUAACUGUGGGAAUUGCUGGAGAUACUAUUAGACUUGAGACCGGGAGAGGUUAGAGGUACUCCCAGGGUAGAGGUGAAAUUCUGUAAUCCUGGGAGGACCGCCUGUUGCGAAGGCGUCUAACUGGAACGGUUCUGACGGUGAGGGACGAAAGUUAGGGGCGCGAACCGGAUUAGAUACCCGGGUAGUCCUAACUGUAAACGAUGCGGACUUGGUGUUGGGUGGCUUUGAGCUGUCUCAGUGCCGAGGGAAGCUGUUAAGUCCGCCGCCUGGGGAGUACGGUCGCAAGACUGAAACUUAAAGGAAUU
rnacentral:rRNA from 1 species